rnacentral:lncRNA from 10 species
UUCCUUUUUGUUGUUUCAAGGUUUGCUAGAGCUUUUGCCUAAUCAUCUGUUUGAGCAUCUUGAAAAUAAGUAUCUAUUUCCAUGGUAUCUAUCAAAAACAGGCACCAGAUUAUACUACAAAGUUGACCUGCCAUAUUGCUAUUAGAAUUAAAACAUGUAGCAGCUUACAUUCAAAAGAAAGCUUUUCUGUUUCCCCAGCAUGAAAAGCAGAGGGUAUUUGUGAUACACUUUGUUUUGUAGGUCUGCUGAAUGAAAAAAAUAAUCGGGUAAAAAAUUAGUACCUAUAUUUUCACAAAUGGGCAUAAUGCUUACAAAUGCACUACAUCAUUAUUUUAGCUUCAUUCUCCCCACAACAUUCAUUUAUUCAUUCAACAAACAUUUGCUGAGCACCUACUCCUAAUUUGUGUAAGCACUUUGCUGGGUGCUAGGGAUUCAGCAGUGGACAAGGUAAACAAGAUUCCGCCCUCCUGAAUUCUGUCACCUGGCCAAAAUAAACAUUUAACAAGUACGCUGCUAGAAUUUUACUUGAGAAAAAGGAAUAAUUCAUCUUACCUAGUAUUUCUUCUGAAUCUUUCUUAAACAUAUUUCUUGAAGGUCCAGACUCCUUUAACUAAGAAGUUCUAUCUUAAAUCUCUCUCUUUCCAUUGUUAUAUUCAUUCCUUUCUUGGUUACAAUGUGGAGAGUUCAGAUUGCAACUGCUAUCAUUUCUGGGGGGAAUGGGGGUGGGACUGUAACCCUGAGAAUCCUUGCUUUUCAAACUACACAUAUAUUUUCUCUGUAAAUAUUGUACCAUCUAAUUUGCGUCUUUGGAUUUUGUUGAUUAGCCAUCAACAUGUGAUUUAAGGAAUACUGCAUAUGAGAUGCAGAAAUCAUGACUCAGUAAGUUAUUAUUUUAAAGCUCUAUUUUGGGAUUUAUACAGACUUGUGUACAGUCUAGUUUGGCUUUCAAUCUAAUCUGCAACUAUUACUAGGAGGCUUUUAGAUCAAGUUCCAUACCCAUGUGUCUCUGGAAUUCUACAGUGAGAAGCAAAAGUGCUCAGGAGUUAAGAGAAGCAGACGUCCGAAAUUAUCUCCAUGCAUUACCAAAAACCGUGGGCACCACGGCACGGGGAAAACUUACCAGGUACAAUGAGCCAGUGACUGUUACUGAAUUUCUUAAGAUUACACUUUUCCCAACUACUGCAGACUGCUUCAGAAUAGAAGAAGACAACUCUCAUGCCAUCAAGCCGACGGACUUUCAAAAAAAUAAAAGAUGCAUUUCUUUACUUGUAAGUAUUUGUCUUUGCAAAGGGCUCUCUGAUAUGGUAGCACAGAAGUUUGCACAUUCUAAGGAUCUGAUGUUUUGCCCUCUUCGGGUAUCCCGGCUGGAAGGAGCUACGGUGAAAGGGCACCUAAGGUGAAUGGACAGAUUGUAGAUGGGUGCACACAGGAAAAUGUACAGCUCCUACAAUGUAUUCUGAGGGCCCAUGAGAAGUAAAAGCAGGCACUGGCAUUCUGCACAGAUGAAAUACUUCCUACGACAGGAAUACAUGCUCACUUGUGGACUUCUCUGUAAUCUGUAGGCAACAUCAGCUCCUGAUUUCUAGGUCUGGAUCUGGGUUCUCUGUAGCACAGGAAGGUCUCUACUUCUCCUACAUAAAUGCCUUGCAUGGCGGGAACUAAAUCAACUACACAGACCCAUACAUCCAGAGAGCAGAGGUGAGCUGGAUACAAGUGGCUUAGAGAUGUGGUGGAAGGAGGCCAGAGCUCCAAGGGAAGGGCAGCAAGGAGACAACAGCAUGGGUUGCAGCUCAGACAACAGGUAAAUAAAACCAAGCAAAGCUGCUGGUCACAGAUUUGACCAGGGUGGCAAGAAAUGACAAGCUACCAUGAGAUUCAACAGUGGCACGGAAGGAUGAUGAGAAGCAAACAGAUUAGGAGAAGCUGCCACCACCGUACAUAGAGGCACAGAUGACCAAGCAGAACAGCACCAGUCCCUGCAAGGUGUGCUCAGAUACAGCUCAGCACAGCCAUCUGGCCAGGAGGGAAUGAUAAUGCACAUGGUGUGCACUGCAGCCGGGAAGUUGAGAACCGCUGUGGGCACCUCAGGACUGAGUCUGGUUACCCUGCUGAUCCAAGAAAUGAAGCCAUCUAAAAUUUUGCCUGCUUUCACAAUUUUCUGUGUGUGUGUGUGUGUAUUAAACAAAGUGAACUAAGAAGCCUUUUAUUGGAGACAUAAUGUACUCACAGUAGUUUCAAAAUCAAUGGUGUCACUCUUCAGGUAAAUUACUCCAAGGCUUGGGCCUAGUGCAGAUGUUCAUUGGGGCAGGGAGCAGAGAGCGGCUGCAUCUAGAUCAGACAAAAAACAAAAAUAAGGUUGUUAAAUGAACAGGUGAUGGUGAUGGCAAUUAUUUAUUUUGAUAGGAAAG